GCCGGGCAUGGUGGUGGGUGCCUGGAAUCCCAACUACUUGGGAGGCUGAGGCAGGAGAAUCAUUUGAGCCCAGGAAGUGGAGGUUGCAGUGAGCCAAGAUUGUGCCACUGCAUUCCAGCCUGGGCAACAGAGUGAGACUCUGUCUCAA
rnacentral:SRP_RNA from 1 species